AGCAUCAAGACCCACCAUCAGAAUACGCAUCUCUUUCUUAGCAAAGAGUCGGCUGAACAACUUAGCGAAAGACAGCCCCAUCCUUUCACGUCUGCUGAUCCAAACAAUUAAAAGCCAAAAUCAUUAAUGGUCCACCGUCCACCCCAUCACUCCAACAAAGGUAAGAUUGCCAAGGCAAACUAAAUUUAAUCAAGAACGUAAAAGGGACCAUCAUACACAGGUUUGAUAAAAGAAUGCACGAUGUUACAGAAAACAAAACGUCGCAUUCGAGUUAAAAAUGAACGUGAUCAUAUCAACAGCAUAAGUAAUAUAUCUCCACAGAAAAUUAAAAAUAUUGUUUAGACUACGAUUCAAAAUCUUAUAAACAGAAGGAUUCAUAUCACUAAUGAAAGCAUCCUGUAUGAAAUUAAGGA
rnacentral:misc_RNA from 1 species